ACACAAGGUCGUUGAUAUGCCUAAAUUAGUAGCAAAACCUGCUACAGAUUGGCAUUCGAGUCGCUGAAAAUAACUGGACAUGAAGCGUUACCAGGACACCCAUGGGCAACAUCGCUUCUGUAACAUUUAACCCGUUUUUAAACCUCUCAAGCAUGGCCAUCUAUUAUGCUAAGUUCUGGAGUUCCCCAGCCAAGUAAUAACAACAUAAUCAUCUUUAUCCCACUGAGAAAAGUUAGGAGCAGUUACCAGAGGAGGAUUUCCUCCAUUAUGGUCACCAUAAGAGCCUUAGCUACUCACUUUGAGCUAGAAUUAAUCCAAC
rnacentral:lncRNA from 1 species